rnacentral:rRNA from 1 species
UACGAAGGGGGCUAGCGUUGUUCGGAAUUACUGGCGUAAGACGCGCGCAGGCGGUCCUUUAAGUCGGGGUGGAAAGCCCAGAGCUCAACUCUGGAACUGCCUUCGAAACUAGAGGACUUGGGUACGGGAGAGGUGAGUGGAAUUCCGAGUGUAGAGGUGAAAUUCGUAGAUAUUCGGAAAGAACACCAGUGGCGAAGGCGGCUCACUGGCCCGUUACCGACGCUCAGGCGCGUACAGCGUGGGG